UCAAUUAAAGUCACCAACCCUAAAGUUUAGCGACAGAGGGAACCCCAAAUAGGUGCGCGAUUAUAUGAAUUCGGCUGUGGACAUUUCAAAUUUCGUCUGAAAAUCGUUGGCAUGAAGCCCUAAAGGAGUGCAGUGAGAUCGGGGCGCCUACCGCUGACGUGCAACCUGGUGGCGGCGCCAUGGGAGGCACUCGGCGGCUGGGGGAGUGGAUUUGCGCCGCUGGUUGCGGACCCCACUGGAAGAGGAGGCCGUACAAUGCGCGGGCGAGGGGGAGGGGCAUGCCACGAUAGUGAAGCUAAAGCUUCUGCAAGCAACGAUGGUGGAGGCAAAGCCGGCGUGAAUGCUCGCCAUUGUUGGUGGUGGUUUAGUUGCUCUGAAGAAUCAAGGGAAACAACUAAUACUGAACAAAUUCUACUUUCUGCCAGAAAAUUACGACUGAUACUGGUUCAAUUCAGCACUGCAUUGUUCAUCAGACUAGAUCAUGCCAACUGAAUCAGGAGGAAAUGGAGAAAAGAAAGGAGGCAUCCAGCCGUCAUUCACUCAUUCUUAUCUGUACAUUCGUAUCUACAAUAAGUUAAACUGCCUAUUUUCAUUGAAAAAGGACGGUCAGUUAUCUGUUCCGUUAAUAUCAUCUUAUUUGCUCCAUGUCAUUUUUUCAUCUUGCUCAGCAGUAGGUAACCCAAUCCAACUUGUGGUUACUCUUGUACACUCUUGAUUGUAACCUCUAGCUGAUGUUGCGCUUUUUCAGUGCUGUACUUUGCAUAGACGCUGCCCUUAUUCUCUUCCCACCAGUGUUGAGCUUCCUUCUCGCCAAAAUGCUUCCGACUGCACCAAGAAUGCCUGGUUAGGUUACUGCAAAUGUGAAAGGUAAAAUGAAGCACCAGUAAGUCAUUCUAGGACCCCACCUGAAUCGUACACGUUUUAUGUCUUUCUUGCCACAAGGUGAUACAGCAAAUGUGACAUACACCCCACGCUCGAUUUGCUCGAUCACACCAUUGGAGGUGACGCGAGCAACAAUGGAAUUCCCUUCUGUAAUACGGCCAUUACUGUCAAAUGUUCUUGAACCAUUCAAAUGACCACACAAUCCUUCUACCUGCACAUCAGAACUUGAAGAAGGUGUAUAUUCUUCGUCUCCUUGGCUGCUGGUCUGGUGAUUUUUGGUGUUGUCGAGUUGUCCGAAUUUGCCUGUGGCAAAUUUUUCACUGGGAUGAUGUUGCAAAUCUGCUGAAAAUGUUUGUCCUUGGCUGAUAUUAGAUUUUGUCUCAAGGUUCUCAUA